UACCAUGGUAGUAACGGGUAACGGGGAAUUAGGGUUCGAUUCCGGAGAGGGAGCGUGAGAAACGGCUACCACAUCCAAGGAAGGCAGCAGGCGCGCAAAUUACCCAAUCCCGACACGGGGAGGUAGUGACAAUAAAUAACAAUACAGGGCUCUUUCAGGUCUUGUAAUUGGAAUGAGUACAAUUUAAAUCUCUUAACGAGGAACAAUUGGAGGGCAAGUCUGGUGCCAGCAGCCGCGGUAAUUCCAGCUCCAAUAGCGUAUAUUAAAGUUGUUGCAGUUAAAAAGCUCGUAGUUGAAUUUUAGACCUGGCCAGGCGGUCCGUCUUUGGCGAGUACCGUCUUGUUGUCGGGUCUUCCCUUCUGGUGAACCAGUAUGUCCUUUAUUGGGUGUGUUGGGGAGCCAGGACCAUUACCUUGAAAAAAUUAGAGUGUUUAAAGCGGGCAAUUGCUUGAAUAGAUUAGCAUGGAAUAAUAGAAUAGGACGUUGUGGUUCUAUUUUGUUGGUUUCUAGGACCACCGUAAUGAUUAAUAGGGAUAGUUGGGGGCAUUAGUAUUCAAUUGUCAGAGGUGAAAUUCUUGGAUUUAUUGAAGACUAACUAUUGCGAAAGCAUUUGCCAAGGAUGUUUUCAUUAAUCAAGAACGAAAGUUAGGGGAUCGAAGACGAUCAGAUACCGUCGUAGUCUUAACCAUAAACUAUGCCGACUAGGAAUCGGGCGUCGUUAAUUUUUUAAUGACUCGCUCGGCGCCUUAUGGGAAACCAAAGUGUUU
rnacentral:rRNA from 1 species